rnacentral:rRNA from 1 species
UCAGGUAUUUUUCUAACAAUCACCAUUGCACUGAUUCUGGUGGGCUGCGGCGCGCUGAGUCCGCAACCCACCGUCACGCCAACGCCAGUAGCAACCUCAACCUCCACACCUACCGCGCUGCCGAGUCCGACGC